CCUACGGGAGGCAGCAGCAAGGGAUCGUGCACAAUGGGCGAAAGCCUGAUGCCGCGACGCCGCGUGAGGGAUGACGGCUCUCGAGUUGUAGACCUCUUUUCUCAGGGAUGAGAGAGGACCUAACCUGAGGAAUAAGUCACGGCUAACUACGUGCCAGCAGCCGCGGUAAUACGUAGGUGGCAAGCGUUGUCCGGAAUUACUGGGCGUAAAGGGUCCGUAGGCGGUUCGGUUAGUCUUCUGUGAAAUCUCCAGGCUCAACUUGGAGCUGUCGGAGGAAACUGCCGAACUAGAGACUGUCAGAGGCAGGUGGAAUUCCCGGUGUAGUGGUGAAAUACGUAGAUAUCGGGAGGAACACCAGUGGCGAAAGCGGCCUGCUGGGGUAGUUCUGACGCUAAGGGACUAAAGCGUGGGGAGCGAACCGGAUUAGAUACCCGGGUAGUCCACGCCCUAAACGAUGAAUGCUAGGUCUUCGGGGUGUUAAUUCCCUGGGGGCCGAAGGUAACCCAUUAAGCAUUUCGCCUGGGGACUACGGCCGCAAGGCUAAAACUCAAAGGAAUUGACGG
rnacentral:rRNA from 1 species